AGGUGAACGACCAUUACCUUCAGCAAGGCUUGAAGAAAUUUUCUAUGUCCUUCAAGAACUAGCUCAUCUAAGAAUACAUCCAGAAACGGCAUCUGUUCUUCCUUUGCAUCCUAAUUUGAAAAGCGUCCUAGCAGACAAAGAGGAUCACAAAAAAUGUCCACAUCUGUUUGUUCUAUUUCCCACCUUCUGCGAUCUUGUAAUAACAAGGGAAGCUAGAGUGAGAGAGUUGGUGCAAGUGUUGCUGAGGCUCAUUACUAGGGAACUAUCGCUUGAAAAGGUUGGUAUUGCCAGUUGAUACAUGGAGGAAUGCAUUUUCACGAUAUUUGAAUCUAAAAUUGAAUUGGCGAGUGGUCAUUACUAGUUGACAGAUAUGGUAUAGGUGAGGAUUUUUUUUUUUUGGGUUUUCCUGCCCUCCACUAUUUGGUGUUGUAUCAUGUAGGUUUGUACAUUAUAGGAUUUUUGUUGUAUUUGAUGAGGCACCGACCAAGAGUUAACAUUUCAUGUAUCAGGAUGAUAGAGCUAGUU
rnacentral:misc_RNA from 1 species